rnacentral:rRNA from 1 species
AACGAACGCUGGCGGCAUGCCUAACACAUGCAAGUCGAACGAGACCUUCGGGUCUAGUGGCGCACGGGUGCGUAACGCGUGGGAAUCUGCCCUUCGGUUGGGAAUAACUGAGAGAAAUUUCAGCUAAUACCUUAUAAUGUCUUCGGACCAAAGAUUUAUCGCCGAGGGAUGAGCCCGCGUAGGAUUAGGUAGUUGGUGGGGUAAUGGCCUACCAAGCCGACGAUCCUUAGCUGGUCUGAGAGGAUGAUCAGCCACACUGGGACUGAGACACGGCCCAGACUCCUACGGGAGGCAGCAGUGGGGAAUAUUGGACAAUGGGCGAAAGCCUGAUCCAGCAGUGCCGCGUGAGUGAUGAAGGCCUUAGGGUUGUAAAGCUCUUUUACCCGGGAUGAUAAUGACAGUACCGGGAGAAUAAGCUCCGGCUAACUCCGUG